rnacentral:lncRNA from 1 species
AAUGAACAGUGCCGAAAAUCACUCCUGGGAUCCGUCAGCCCAUCUUUCUCAGAGGCAGUUUGUCUUCUCGAACAGUUUUCUCCAUCAAAGAGGCUGAAGCAAGAGAGGGUUUCCCAGCAGCCCAGUUCAGGUUCCAUUCUAGGAGGAACAAAGCCUGCGGCCGUGGCAGAGGAGCCCCAAGUUUCCUCCCACCUAGGAUUUUUUCUUCAGGGCCACCCCGCAGGGCAGCCAGUGACCUUUUGGGCAUCAGUCCUUGAUAGGCCUGCUGGCUGGAGGGCUUGCACUGUCCCUUGGGCCCAGGAGGAAACAGAGGCCCAGAGUAGGAUGGUAUCACUGGGAGGGUUCAUCACCAUUCUUUCCACAAAUGAAGCUGGGUUCCCGUAUGUCACCUCAUCCUUGCAGCUCGCCCAGGAACUGGAAGGCACUGAGGAAACUUUGGAAGUAGAGGAUAGUGACUAUGUAAGAAUCCAUUCAUUCAUUCUUGGAGCAAGUAUUUAAUGAACACCUGUUUUGUGCCAGGCCCCAUGCAAGUCAAUGAAAUCAUUUGGUAGGUAAUCACUUGA